CAUGAAAGGUGCGGUGGGCAGAAUCCACACUCUGCCCACACCCCCUAGGGUCCCUUUUCCAUUCCCACUGGUUGUACGCUUUCCCUCCCAACAGCCAGCACCACCCUCAGGCCCAGAUUCACCUGCCUGUGCAUUUGGUAAACCAGUCACCCUGGAAAGAAUUCACCUCCCCGCAGCAGCCCCUAACUAGUGACUGGCAGAUAGUCUACCUGCCUCAGCUCCUUUACACCCGAUGAAGACAACGCCAAGGUACCUCACAAGGGAAGAGACCCAACCUGGCCCAUCACUGUAACCCACUGCUUAGAACAGUGUCUGCACACUCUUGGCGACCAGGAAUAAUGGCCACUAAGACACUGGGGACUCAGGAGGUGGGCAGUUUGGCCCAGGGAUGAGGAAUGUCAUUUCCAGCAGUCAAGUAUAUUGAAAUCAACUGAUCUCCUGCAAAGGAGCCUACAUAGUUGUCAGGUGGGGAACUUGCCUGGUGAGCAAGGUCACAGAAACCGUCUGGGGCUGGAAGAGCCACGGGUGUCCCAGAGAGAGCACUGGAACUUCAACUUGCCAUCAAGGUGAAGAGGAAAACUGGAAACUACAGACACAUUGGAGGAAGGCCGGAGGGCAAGACAGAGCAAAGAGGUCCAAGAACACUGCAACCACAGGCUGAAGAGUUGGAGCCCACUGUGACAUCUCACUCAUUGGUUUCCUAGGUGUGCCUAUGCGACUGGAAGCUAUAAGGUAGACACAUAAGAAAUUCAGCAAAAGUGAUCAUAGAAAACAGAGUCAUAGAAAAGAGAACCAUCCACCUCCUACGUAAAAUUAAAGAGCCUGUCUACUGAGUCUCCCUUAAACUAUACAUUGUCCUAUAAUAGCUUGUAUUCAUUUUCCUGGAGCGAACACUUGCCCUACAAGAAGAGAAUGAUUCAAUUGCCCCCAUCCAAACUCCUUGCCUCUUAGGUUCAUAGCAUUCACAUUUCAUCUCUUCAACUGGAUUCAUCAGAAAUAUUUGCUCCUAUAAAGACUGAGGUCAUGACUGACAAAAGAAAAUGCUGGAUCUUUCUCAUCUCGGUUCAUGGAGUCCCAGACUUAGUCUUAUUCAUUAGUGACCUUCUCAAAGAAUAUGACAUGGAGUUGACUUUUAAAUAGAGCAUGAAUGUUUAAUGUCAAUAAUCCAUUUCUGGACACUCAAAAUAUUUUAAAAAUAGUAUAAAUUACAAGUGUAUUGUGCUCUAAAGGAAGGAUAAAAUUUAAAUAGAAACCUAUAAAACAAUGAAGUUGGUAUAUAAAUAUAUCGGCAUGCGGGUAGCCUCAGAAGGAUUCAUUGGGCAUUCCAUUGGUGAGCA